rnacentral:rRNA from 1 species
AACGGUGGUAAUGCCGGAUGCUCCAGUUGAUCGCAUGGUCUUCUGGGAAAGCUUUCGCGGUAUGGGAUGGGGUCGCGUCCUAUCAGCUUGACGGCGGGGUAACGGCCCACCGUGGCUUCGACGGGUAGCCGGCCUGAGAGGGCGACCGGCCACAUUGGGACUGAGAUACGGCCCAGACUCCUACGGGAGGCAGCAGUGGGGAAUAUUGCACAAUGGGCGCAAGCCUGAUGCAGCGACGCCGCGUGAGGGAUGGAGGCCUUCGGGUUGUAAACCUCUUUUAUCGGGGAGCAAGCGAGAGUGAGUUUACCCGUUGAAUAAGCACCGGCUAACUACGUGCCAGCAGCCGCGGUAAUACGUAGGGUGCAAGCGUUAUCCGGAAUUAUUGGGCGUAAAGGGCUCGUAGGCGGUUCGUCGCGUCCGGUGUGAAAGUCCAUCGCUUAACGGUGGAUCCGCGCCGGGUACGGGCGGGCUUGAGUGCGGUAGGGGAGACUGGAAUUCCCGGUGUAACGGUGGAAUGUGUAGAUAUCGGAAAAAAAACACCAC